GCUUCGCGACGCGUUACGUUAUGUUUAUUUGUAUGUCGCGUCGCUAUACUACGCGCCGCGCGAAAUAAGUAACUUAAAAAUACCGUUAAUAUAAACUGACGGAAUAAUUGUUAGCAUUAAAAAGUCCUAUUAAUCUACGACUACUGUUUACAUUUGUGGUACAGGCACCAAAUGCCGAAAUGUAAGAUAAAGAUUAUGUAACAUAAACAUUAGAAAUUGGCUACGUAUUUAAUAAAUACGUGAAUCACUUCUUAAAAAAUGGCUGUGAUCGAUAGAGGAUGGUCGUGGGUCGUAAGUGCCGCUUGUUUUGUCAAUAUGUUGUGUGUGAUAGGUCUGUAUAGGGCAUCGGGGGUGAUAUAUUCAGCAAUUAUCGACACCUUCGGUGUGACGAGGGAAGAAGCUACUUGGCCUUUCUCAUUGGCUGGAACAAUUGGAUUGCUUGUGUCUGUUUGUAAUGGUAUAUUGUGCCAACUCUUCACCAUUAGAACAAUUGCAAUUUCGGCAACACUCGUCAGUUCAAUUGGCCUAGCAUUAUGUUUCACAGCUCACGAGGUUUUACCGCUCACCAUCUACUUAGGUUUCAUUUAUGGUAAGUUAAGCAUUAAUUCUAUCAUUUUAUAUAGAAUAAAAAUAUAUAUAAUUUGGAAUAUUACAGGGUUCGGUAUAGGAAUCAUCAAUGUGUCCUGCUUAAUCAUUACUUGCCAAUACUUUAAAAAGUACAAAACUAUCGCUAUCGGAGUAUUAUACGCUGGUACGGCAACGGGUUCCUUUAUUCUUCCGCCAUUAAUAGAAUAUUUAUUAAAAAUAUAUGGACUUCGAGGUACAUUUCUUAUACUUUCUGGUAUCUGCUUGCAAGGUAUGGUUGCUGCUGCUCUGUACAGACCUCAAGAAUUAGAUGAUGCCAAGCCAAAUAAAUGUGAAGAAAAGUUGAAAUUUGCUUCGAAACCAGCUCAAAUCAUUUCUAAAUGGGUAAUAAUCUUUCGUUUUCGGAUAUUUUACCUUAUUUGGAUAACUUAUGCGGUUUAUCACUUCACAUAUUUCAUCUUUCCUACUGUUAUCGUCGAUUAUGCAUCGGACUUGAAUAUCAAAACCAACAAAGGAGUAUUUCUUCUUUCUGGUUACUGUAUAGGUGAUUUAUGUGGUCGCCUGUCAUGUGGAUGGGCUACUGACGUUCUCAGGAUAAAGAAAAAGAGUUGGAUAUUUUACCGGUUGUUUAAUGCCUCAAUGGCCCGUAAUCUUCGCUGAUUAUCUUGGUUUGACUCACUUGCCAUUUGCAAUAGGAACCGUUUUAACUUUAACUGGUUUUCUCCCAUUUUGUUUCCCAUAUAUAAUAGGAUAUUACAGGGAUAUAAAAGGUAGUUACAGUUCACUUUACUUCACUUGUGCAGGGAUCAAUUUAUUAGCUGUUUUAUUAUGGAGUUUGGAGCAUCUGUUUGUAG
rnacentral:misc_RNA from 1 species